GACCUCAAAUCAGGUAGGACUACCCGCUGAACUUAAGCAUAUCAAUAAGCGGAGGAAAAGAAACUAACAAGGAUUCCCCUAGUAACUGCGAGUGAAGCGGGAAAAGCUCAAAUUUAAAAUCUGGCGGCCUCCG
rnacentral:rRNA from 1 species